rnacentral:rRNA from 1 species
UACGUAGGGUGCAAGCGUUGUCCGGAAUUAUUGGGCGUAAAGAGCUCGUAGGCGGUUAGUCACGUCGGAUGUGAAAACCCGGAGCUUAACUCCGGGCCUGCAUUCGAUACGGGCUGACUAGAGUGUUGUAGGGGAGACUGGAACUCCUGGUGUAGCGGCGAAAUGCGCAGAUAUCAGGAAGAACACCGGUGGCGAAGGCGGGUCUCUGGGCAACUACUGACGCUGAGGAGCGAAAGCGUGGGGAGCAAACAGG